AACGAACGCUGGCGGCAUGCCUAACACAUGCAAGUCGAACGAGACCUUCGGGUCUAGUGGCGCACGGGUGCGUAACGCGUGGGAACCUGCCCUUAGGUUCGGAAUAACUCCCCGAAAGGGGUGCUAAUACCGGAUAAUGUCUUCGGACCAAAGAUUUAUCGCCUUUGGAUGGGCCCGCGUUGGAUUAGCUAGUUGGUAGGGUACAAGCCUACCAAGGCGACGAUCCAUAGCUGGUCUGAGAGGAUGAUCAGCCACACUGGGACUGAGGCACGGCCCAGACUCCGACGGGAGGCAGCAGUGUGGAAUAUUGGACAAUGGGCGAAAGCCUGAUCCAGCAAUGCCGCGUGAGUGAUGAAGGCCUUAGGGUUGUAAAGCUCUUUUACCCGGGAUGAUAAUGACAGUACCGGGAGAAUAAGCUCCGGCUAACUCCGUG
rnacentral:rRNA from 1 species